UACGAAGGGUGCAAGCGUUAAUCGGAAUUACUGGGCGUAAAGCGUGCGUAGGCGGUUUCUUAAGUCCGUUGUGAAAACCCUGGGCUUAACCCAGGAACUGCGUUUGAAACUGGAAGGCUUGAGGACCGGAGAGGGUAGUGGAAUUCCCAGUGUAGCGGUGAAAUGCGUAGAUAUUGGGAGGAACACCAGUGGCGAAGGCGACUGCCUGGACGGCACCUGACGCUGAGGCGCGAAAGCUAGGGGAGCAAACGGG
rnacentral:rRNA from 1 species